GACGAACGCUGGCGGCGUGCUUAACACAUGCAAGUCGAACGGAAAGGCCCUGCUUUUGUUGGGUGCUCGAGUGGCGAACGGGUGAGUAACACGUGAGUAACCUGCCCCUGACUUUGGGAUAACUUCAGGAAACUGGGGCUAAUACCGGAUAGGAGCUCCUGCUGCAUGGUGGGGGUUAGAAAGUUUCGGCGGUUGGGGAUGGACUCGCGGCUUAUCAGCUUGUUUGUGGGGUAGUGGCUUACCAAGGCUUUGACGGCUAGCCGGCCUGAGAGCGUGACCGGCCACAUUGGGACUGAGGUACGGACCAGAAUCCUACGGGAGGCAGAAGUGGGGAAUAUUGCACAAUGGGCGGAAGCCUGAUGCAGCAACGCCGCGUGCGUGAUAACGGCCUUCGGGUUGUAAACAGCUUUCGACUGUGACGAAGCGGGAGUGACGGUACUGGGUAAGGAAGCACCGGCUAACUACGUG
rnacentral:rRNA from 1 species